AGGCUGGCAGAAUGAUGGAGAAGUGAUACUGAUUGUAUGAAAGCAGCCCCUUCAGCCAACUCCUGUCUUCCUGGGAAGGCCCCUGGGAGAAACAGCUGAAGAAGUUGAAGCCGAAGAGUUCGAAUGCCUUGCCGAGACCAUUCUGCUGAUCUCUGCAUCCCUCACAGAGAAGUUUUUUUCUGAUUUUGUUUCUCUUGAAACACUUGGGGUGAGGAUAAACCUCUGCAUUGGCCACGCAGAAGAAACAGGUCAACCGCAGUGGGUACCACCCGUGCAUGGCUCCUCCUAACUCAUCAGCUAAGAAGAAUUGCUCUUUGUUCCAGUCGGUUUUUUCCACCAUUGAUCUUCUCAUUAGCCUUUAAUACAAGUCUGUAAGGAUCUGUGACCGAAGUGGAUCAGUCAGGAGGGGCUCCUCGCAGAGUAAAGG